rnacentral:rRNA from 1 species
UACGGAGGGUGCAAGCGUUAUCCGGAUUCACUGGGUUUAAAGGGUGCGUAGGUGGGUUGGUAAGUCAGUGGUGAAAUCUCCGAGCUUAACUUGGAAACUGCCAUUGAUACUAUCAAUCUUGAAUACCGUGGAGGUCAGCGGAAUAUGUCAUGUAGCGGUGAAAUGCUUAGAUAUGACAUAGAACACCAAUUGCGAAGGCAGCUGGCUACACGAAUAUUGACACUGAGGCACGAAAGCGUGGGGAUCAAACGGG